UGGGGAAUUUUGGACAAUGGGCGCAAGCCUGAUCCAGCAAUGCCGCGUGCAGGAAGAAGGCCUUCGGGUUGUAAACUGCUUUUGUCAGGGAAGAAAUCUUCUGGGCUAAUACCCCGGGAGGAUGACGGUACCUGAAGAAUAAGCACCGGCUAACUACGUGCCAGCAGCCGCGGUAAUACGUAGGGUGCGAGCGUUAAUCGGAAUUACUGGGCGUAAAGCGUGCGCAGGCGGUUUGAUAAGCCAGAUGUGAAAUCCCCGAGCUCAACUUGGGAACUGCGUUUGGAACUGUCAGACUAGAGUGCGUCAGAGGGGGGUGGAAUUCCGCGUGUAGCAGUGAAAUGCGUAGAGAUGUGGAGGAACACCGAUGGCGAAGGCAGCCCCCUGGGCCUGUACUGACGCU
rnacentral:rRNA from 1 species